CCCCCCGUCAGGACAAGCUGGCGGCGUGCCUAAUACAUGCAAGUCGAGCGAACAGAGAAGGAGCUUGCUCCUUUGACGUUAGCGGCGGACGGGUGAGUAACACGUGGGCAACCUACCUUAUAGUUUGGGAUAACUCCGGGAAACCGGGGCUAAUACCGAAUAAUCUAUUUUACUUCAUGGUGAAAUACUGAAAGACGGUUUCGGCUGUCGCUAUAAGAUGGGCCCGCGGCGCAUUAGCUAGUUGGUGAGGUAACGGCUCACCAAGGCGACGAUGCGUAGCCGACCUGAGAGGGUGAUCGGCCACACUGGGACUGAGACACGGCCCAGACUCCUACGGGAGGCAGCAGUAGGGAAUCUUCCACAAUGGGCGAAAGCCUGAUGGAGCAACGCCGCGUGAGUGAAGAAGGUUUUCGGAUCGUAAAACUCUGUUGUAAGGGAAGAACAAGUACAGUAGUAACUGGCUGUACCUUGACGGUACCUUAUUAGAAAGCCACGGCUAACUACGUGCCAGCAGCCGCGGUAAUACGUAGGUGGCAAGCGUUGUCCGGAAUUAUUGGGCGUAAAGCGCGCGCAGGCGGUCCUUUAAGUCUGAUGUGAAAGCCCACGGCUCAACCGUGGAGGGUCAUUGGAAACU
rnacentral:rRNA from 1 species